GGCUCAGUUCUGACAGUGCACAGGCCCCUUUAUCUCUCCCAUCCCACUUUGCUUGUGGCACAAGGAGGAGUUGGCGUGUUCCUGGAAGGAAAGCGAUAAAAAAGAAAUUAAAGCAAAGGGAGAGGAGGGCAGGGGGAAUUACCUGUCCUGAAUUUAAAAAAGCACCCCAGGUUACUGUGGCAACUGAAAGAUGCAUCAUGUUGCCAUGACAACUGGGGAAACAUCCUCGUUUGCCUAGCCUUGCCACUACACAGACGAUCGGAGGAGAAGUCAUGGGGAGAAAGUGAGGUUUAAACAGAAUUGCCCUUGAAAUUCAAGAUCUGCUUUUGAAAGGAGAUUCCACCUCAAUGACAAUUAGGUGCCUAUUUCUUGAAAAGGCUCCUGAGUUCAGCUAAGCCUUACCCACUUCACAUUUCACAAGAGCCCAAGAAAAUGAAGAGAGCUUUGGAGAUAACAGAGAAACAUUUCAAUGCCUGCAAAACUCAUAAGAAGUUGUGUGAAGGCAUGAUGGCAAUCCUGUGAUAUCUGGCAACUGCUGCAUAAUGCAGCCUCUGUCUGACUCUGCCAAGCAGAAGCCGGAAUCUCCCAGCAGAGCUAUUUAUAACCUGUGAUAGUUUUCAGAGUGCCACUUUGAUGUUCUUCCACCAACUCUGGGAAAGAAAUAGUCCAUCCCCAAAUAAACUGAUACUGAAGAAAGAAGAAGAGGAGGAGAGAAGAAGGUAGUUAACAUUCUAUUGUCAACAUUAUUUCACUAGGGAAAUGUUAACGUCAAGAGCAGAAUAAAAAUCCUCACCUUUACACUAUCAAA